CAGGAACAUCUGUGCUCACACCUUCAGUUACUCCCUGUGCUUCUCGUGGGUGUGACAUCCCAGGUGAGGAAGGAGUCCCUUCCAUGGAAUCCCAGUACUGAAAUGACUACCACCCCCUUUGCCACAAGGAAGGUGACACGAGACACUGAGUGGACUCAGAGCCGAGGCUAGACCAUCACCUGCUUUCAUGCUCAAAGUGUCGUGAGAAGGCUAGAAAUCAAACACUGAGUUUGACUUAUUUUUAUGUAUUAUUAUCAUCAUCAUUAUCAUUAUUAUUUUAAUUUUUUACAUAUUUUUAUGCUUCUGACAUUCAUUCUAAAUGACUUGGGCAUAUUGAACUUGUCUCCGUGAGCCUUAAUAUUCUAACCUACAGCUCACUGGGAAAAACAUACAAUUCCAGGUUGAGUGAUUGUGAUAUUGUGGGUCAUGCAUUGGCUGGGCACAUCAUAGGUGCUCGGGUAAGGAAUAUCCUUCUCUCAUGCCUGACGUCACUUCUGCCUAAGGACUGGAAACACACUGGAAGGUUUUGACUGGAGUCCUGGCAUUGUUCCUCUUCCUGCUUUUCUUCCUCCUGCUCUGUCUCAUCCUCAUCCGACACCGACGUUGGUACAAAAAGAAGGCUGAGGACACGGCUGGAGCCGAGGGAAAUGGAAUCAGGACCCCACCAGAUGAGGAAACGCAGGGGAUCGUGUACGCCCAAGUGAAACCCUCCAGGCUUCGGAUGGACACAACAUCCAAAGAGACUGAGGAUGUGACCUAUGCCCAGCUGUGCAGCCGGACACAGGAAGAGAACCACAGCUGAGACCAGCAGGCAGCCAUCCUGGGAAUAAGGCCCACACCCCACAUCCCACGAAUGAGAAUGAGGGAUUUUCUGAGAAGACAUUUGUUCCCAGUGGACUUGGUUUGACAGAUAGGAGCCAUCAUGACUCCCUCAGGUGUCAUCAGAAGCUUGUCAGAAUUGUGGGAAUGUGCUUCUUACCUUUUCAGAGGCAACAAAAGUCCUCAUGUCUUUUAAAUAAAGCCAAACCCUUCUCAAUAAAUGCCA